rnacentral:misc_RNA from 1 species
GAUGAAGAACGCAGCGAAAUGCGAUAAGUAAUGUGAAUUGCAGAAUUCAGUGAAUCAUCGAAUCUUUGAACGCACAUUGCGCCCGCUGGUAUUCCGGCGGGCAUGCCUGUUCGAGCGUCAUUUCAACCCUCAAGCUCUCCGGAGUUUGGUGUUGGGGCGCCUGGGGCUUUUCGACCUCAGGGCCCUCAAGUCCAUCGGCGGGACCGCCAGGACACUGAGCGCAGUAGUAUUAUUUCGCUCGGUAGGAUCUUCCACGGCGGGUCGAUCUGGCCGCUAAACCCCCCAAUUCUCACCAAAGGUUGACCUCGGAUCAGGUAGGAAUACCCGCUGAACUUAAGCAUAUCAAUAAGCGGAGGA